GACGAACGCUGGCGGCGUGCUUAACACAUGCAAGUCGAACGCUGAAGCACCGCUUGCGGUGUGGAUGAGUGGCGAACGGGUGAGUAACACGUGGGUGAUCUGCCCUGCACUUCGGGAUAAGCUUGGGAAACUGGGUCUAAUACCGGAUAUGACACUGCUUUGUUGUGGUGUGGAAAGCUUUUGCGGUGUGGGAUGAGCCUGCGGCCUAUCAGCUUGUUGGUGGGGUAAUGGCCUACCAAGGCGUCGACGGGUAGCCGGCCUGAGAGGGUGUACGGCCACAUUGGGACUGAGACACGGCCCAG
rnacentral:rRNA from 1 species